rnacentral:rRNA from 1 species
AAUAGAUACCCUGGUAGUCCUAGCCGUAAACGAUGACCACUAGGCGUGGGAGGUAUCGACCCCUUCUGUGCCGAAGCAUACGCAUUAAGUGGUCCGCCUGGGGAGUACGGCCGCAAGGCUAAAACUCAAAGGAAUUGACGGGGGCCCGCACAAGCGGCGGAGCAUGCGGAUUAAUUCGAUGCAACGCGAAGAACCUUACCAAGGCUUGACAUACACCGGAAUCACUCAGAGAUGGGUGCGUCUUCGGACUGGUGUACAGGUGGUGCAUGGUUGUCGUCAGCUCGUGUCGUGAGAUGUUGGGUUAAGUCCCGCAACGAGCGCAACCCUCGUUCUAUGUUGCCAGCACGUCAUGGUGGGGACUCAUAGGAGACUGCCGGGGUCAACUCGGAGGAAGGUGGGGAUGACGUCAAAUCAUCAUGCCCCUUAUGUCUUGGGCUUCACGCAUGCUACAAUGGCCGGUACAAAGGGUUGCGAUACUGUGAGGUGGAGCUAAUCUCAAAAGCCGGUCCCAGUUCGGAUUGGGGUC